GAGCCUGAAGUUAUGGGGCGUGUAUACAGUGAGGGACCGCACCGCCCGCCGGCAGCUUUCAUCUGUCAACUCCUAGUGAGAAGAACACUCACCCACCAAAAAAAGGAAAAAUUGAAAAUGGUGCUGAUUUCGAGGGGUACUUGGAGACUGGCCCCGGGCUGGGCCCCUGUCUGGAGCGCCGAGGCCUGCCUGUCGGCCUGGGAUGACUGCAGAGGCUGCUGUCAAGGAAGCUGUGCUCCAUGGUCAGGACAAGCAAGCCGACCUAGGGGCCCAAGAGACCAAGAUGAGCUCUCCAGGCCCCACAGCCCGGCCCUGAGCCUCCUCUGCUGAAGCCAGCCCGUGCGCUGACAGCGGUAUGGGGCCUGCAUGAUUGGCGCAGGAAUAAGCAAAGAGACCCUGGACCCAAGGGCGGGUCCAGAAAGCGGCCCCUUCCCCACGCCGAUUUAUAACAAAGGCCCCUGCAGAGCAGGGGGAAGAGGUGGCCUUUCCCUGCCACGUGUCCAGUAUCAGUUGGACACUGACAGAAAAAAGUGACCCCAUCCCCACAAUUAAUUUAAAAUGAGUCACAGAGCAGGCUGGGCACGGUGGCUCACACCUGUAAUCCCAGCACUUUGGGAGGCUGAGGCGGGCGGAUCACUUCAGGCCAGGAGUUCAAGACCAGCCUGGCCAACAUGGUGACACCCUGUCUCUACUAAAAAUACAUAACUUAGCCGGGCGUGGUGGCACACUCCUGUAAUCCCAGCUACUCGGGAGGCUGAAGCACAAGAAUUGUUUGAACCCAGGAGGCAGAGGGUGCAGUGAGCUGAAAUUGCACCACCGCACUCCAGCCUGGGUGACAGAGGGAGACUCUGUCUCAAAAAAUAAUACUAAUAAAUGAAAUAAGUCAUA